AAAUGGGCACAAAUUAAUUUGCUAAUUAAACAACGUUGGCGCUGGACGGGAAAAUGCGAAUGGCGCCAGACUGAAACUAGCAAACACACCUGCACUGCGCCUUGCGUCACAUUGCGCUGGGUGUAUGAUAGGGCCCUAUUUUUUUCAGGGAUUUUCAGCUUAGGGUUCAAAUGCAUUUAGUUUUUUUUUUAAACAAAAAGAAGAAGAAAAAGUAAAAAUGUGCAUCGCUCAAGUAAAAUGUGGCUGCAUAAAGUCUAAAUCUUUUGGAGAUGGUUUGAUGGUUGUUGUUUUGAGUCACUCUUCUUGUACUCUUAGCAACCUACACUUUUUCCAUAUCUAUUAUUUAAUCACAGUGUUGAAUUUAUACAGAAGUAACGUUUCUCAACUGUGCUGAAUUUUUUUUUUUUCUUUCAGUUUUUCCACUUUCCAGAGUCUUAAGAGUAACAAAAACAGUCUGGUCUGAAAGUGUGGGGUUUCUCUCUUCUGAAACCGGCCACCAUUAGGGGAAUUCCACCAAUUUCAGUGGCCAUGGAUUUCAGAUAGGCCAAAGCCUGUGCAUACAUUCAGUUCCUGCUGGAUAGGAGAAAUGAGGCCGGAACGGGUGAAGGUCUUUUCUACUGUACUCUUAAAGACUUUGACAGAUGCAGUGCUCUCCUAUUGCCUGAUCUUCACUUUAUUCCUGUUGUCAUUGAUGCUAUUGUGUGGGUGAGUAGAUCACAUCACAAACAUAAAAACUGCCAAAACUGGUUUGCCAAAACUUGCACACAUGCUCUCAAGAAAAGUGAGCCUUACCAGCCAUAUUAAUUGCGCUAACGCCAGUGCUCAACAACUGUCCCGGCAGCUGUUGGGACGCGGCAGAUGAUGGUGGCACAUCAUAACUCAGGCUGCUGUGAGAAAUGCUGGUAAUGCAGCGGCUGCAGUCCACACUUCCUGGCCGAGGGCAAAGGGCCUCUGUGUUAGCAUGAUGUAGCAGGAGGGCUCACAGAUGUCACUUAAAACUCUGGCCCUAAGCUUUCACUUUCAUUCAGCAACAUCUGUUGUCACAAGUGUUAUGACAUACAACAGAACACAGCAGCAGCUAUAAAUAGUGUCGGACAGUACUUGUAUGUACAGCUAGCAUAAAGUACAGAAUGCUAAUUGUGUCUUAAUGAUGUUAAACUUCUUUUAGUUGGUUGCUAGAAUUUCCAAUGCAUAAAUGUGGUAUUCAACAUGCUCAUUUAAUGAGAAGAUUCACAAGAGAUGUGUCAUAUGGCUUUGGAAUGAAUGUGCAUUCCAAGCUUAUUGCGAAUCAUCUCUCAAGGAUAGAUUGAUCUGUUUCGGAACACCUCGGGGAACUGAUUUGCAUCAGUGCUUUAGGACAAACUGACACCUUGCACAAGCAUUCCAGAGUUCCUUAUCAUUCCUAAGAGAAUGCAACUCUCUUUUAUUGUGUGAUGUGUGUCAUAAUCAUAUCUUUUAUUAUUUUACAGCAACCAUAGUUGAACCAUGCCACACACUACAAGGACAAGAUAUAUUUAUGUAACUUUUACAUCAUAUAAAAUGUGAAUUUGUUGUGCAUGCUAUGUUUAACACCUAAUGGAAUGCGUCUCACGAGAAUUGCUUCCUUCCCACCAUGUUAUCUGCUGUUUUGUCUGAGGGACAUCCAGCCCCCCUCAUAUGGCACAAAACAUAGGUACUACUCAAGCCUCAUGUGUUGAAAGGGGACCGAGCACCACCCCUGAUAAUUGUGUGCAGGCAACUGAGGUAGCUUAAACUUUCGUAGCCGACACACGAUUCAGGAAAGCAUUCCCAGCACCUCCAUUCCAUUGCACAGCGGAUGUCAUUACCUUGCUCGCAGCCUGGCUCUCUCCUUCUCCUCAUAACAUCCAAUUGAUUUAUCCCUGAUUGUUUGAAGCUUGCAGAGUGCAGCUGGAUUUGGUCCAUAUGAGGACGGCGCUGAGGGGUCAUCUAUAACAAUCAUUUUCAGUGGCUCAUUAUUCUCAGGCCAAACAACCCAAAGACCCAAUUUCCUUCUUGGCUGUCCAUAAAAGUAACAGAUGGCAGAAACCUGGAAAGUCUUUUUUUUUUCUCAUAAUCAUUAACCCCUCAAAUGUCAAAUACAGAGCUCCCCCACUUUGAAAGUUUUUUAAAGGUGAGGAAUUUUAGUGGGCGGGGCUGGAUAAGUAUGUGAAAUAGUUUGAGGGUGCAGCAAAGUUAAGGUUUUCACUACAUCUGCUUUGGGAUGUAGAUUUAGCGCAAAGGUGUUGUCAUAUUGUUUGUCUUGCUUUAUGAUUGUUGUUUUAAAUGGAGGAAUUUCCCCAAACAGCACCUUUUUCAUGCAGUUUGGAUGUUGAGAGGACAUGACACACAUUGCCUGGCCUCUGAGAGUCUCUCGAUUUCUGGGGGAAAUGCCUCUGUGAUAAAUGCAAGGCCUGGAACAACAGCUGAAGUAGGACUUGGCCAGUUCCCCCAACUGUUUGAGACACGAGAGCAGUUUCCUCAUAGCUUGGCUCAGGCUCAUGAAUGACCUCUUAGAUUUUUUCCAAUAAUAACUAAACUCCUCUACUCAGCAUUUAAAACACCCCUUUCUUCCUGUUCUUUUUUUCUACCUCUUGUCCUUUCUUUUCUUCGAAAUUUCCACCCCUGUCAUUCUGGCAGUGCUAGUGCAAGUUCAGAGCUGAAACCUAAUCUAUAUUGCAGCAGACUGCAGGGCCCAGGACAGAGUCUGAGAGCAGCGAGUGGGUGGGCGUGCAUGGGGGUGGGCUAUCAAGGGGGGGGGGGGGGGUUAACAAGCCUUUUCUUCUUUCCUAAAAGAAAGAUGAACACUGCUGUCUUUGAGUUUCCUAUUGGUAGAAUUCUUUUAAAUUACAAGAUACGUUUUGAAAAUAACUCUCAGCACAAGAUAUGUUUUCCACUGUGAUAUUUAUCAUCAUUUUUUUUUCUUUUAGUCCCUCUUCAUCAUCUGUCUGUGGUUCUUCCUCAACGACAUUAUGCUUUUCAAUGAAUCAUAUCCUGGUUAUAGUUUACAUACAGGCCUGUGAGGAAGAUGAUGAUCAGUUAAUUUGCUCCGAGUGACAUUGUACACAGCCAUCUUUCAUUGUGGUCACUGACCUACUUUAGAUAUGUAGUUAAUCUCUCCCCCGUGUGUUUGAAAUGUCACGGCUGAUGAGGGAACAUGUAUUUGCUUGUUAUGGAUUUCCUAUGGAAUGCACACUUUCGGUCAUACCCACGUUUCAUGUUUUAAUAAGCAGUCAUUAUGGAGUAUUUAUUUUCCUACAGGGUGUGGAAGCCAAACCUGUUGGUACACUACUGAUUCACGCUCCCCCAGCCCACCAUGCCUGGCAUCACGGUUUGAACUAGGAAUACUUCACCCAAAAAUGAAAAAAAAAAAAUUUAUUCAACCUCAGCUCAGAGAUACUUUGAAGAGCCCAUACAAUGAAAGUCAGUGGUGUCCCAAACACAACGUUGCUCCUGUUAAGGAGAAUUUUGUGGUCAAGCUGAGGGCCACUCAUGUGCUUGCACUUUAAUUUCUGUUAUGAAGCUCCACUCAAGGUUCAAUGAAUGGCGUGUACUGUAAACGCAAGCAUGGGUCUAUUAAAGCGAGAAGAAUGGAGGGGAAAAGAGAUGCCGAACUUUAUAUGACUCUUCAAUGAAUGAAGGAGGGGAGCAGCAGCCACAGCAUGACAAUUCCAAUGAUGGCGACCAUUCAUAGACACAGGAAAUGCUUGACCUCACACCCUGAGAGACGGCAACAACAGCCUGCUUGUGUUAAAGGUGUUAUUGGGUAUAAUUACGGCUUGGCAAUGAAGAUAGUCUACAUGCUUACUCCUACCACCAACAUUGCUUUCCUGAUAGCAUUCUAGGAUGCGGUGUAUCCUUGGUUUGUUUGAGCUCUUAAAUAGAUAGUCCACUCAAAGACUUCACUUCAUAGCUGUAUGACAUUCUUCUGCGAAACACAAAAGACGAUACUUAAAAUGUUUUGUCCACACAAUGCAAGUCAGUUGGGUCCAAUACACUUUUUGAAGUUCAUCACAAAAGGACUUUUUUGCAUGCUUGUUUGUCUGGGCUUCACACAGGGUCAGGUCAGCGAUGUAACUAUCCCUGCUUCAAUUUCGCUAAUUGGAUACGUGUAACAGCAUUACCUAGAUGAUGGUUUUGAUGGAGCAUGUGACAGGAGUUUAAAGAACCGCUCUGUUUUCUAGAACUAACUAUUUCCUCCCUCUGACCUCGUUUAUGGACCCCAGACUCAAUCCUACUAUUGUGUACAUGAAGGCUUGACUAAGGUCGACCAAUUCAGGCUCUGGUGGCAUGACUGCUGUAGCCCGUAAUGCAUUCCCAUGCUCCCAAGCCCUGCGUAGGAAUUCAGAGGUAGCUUUACUGCCGUCACUGCAGUGCCUUUCUCCAUGGCUCGUCUGUUCAUAACUGCUUCUAUUCUGUGUCAGCAAACUUCCUGAACCACUCAAGCUAAGCAGUGUGGAAGGAGCUGUCACUUUAAAUGUCUUUUGGUCUCUCCGAGCCAUCUUUUAUGACCCAGCACUGGGGUCCAGAUUGGUCCCUACCCAGUUCAUUAGAAACUUGUUGUCCAUUCUCCCUUCCUAGCAUUCUCAUGGAGAGCUCUGGGGAAGUCAGGGGGGUUGACCCAUCAGUCAGGAGGUCUGGGGGGGCUGACCCUUGACAUACUGGGAAGCUCUGGAGAGUGGAAGUCGAGCCCUAGAGAAAUUAGUGGGAGGGGGCAAGGCAUAUCCAUCCCAUAUCCCCAGCAGAGUUUCUCUUUCCUCAUUGAAUGGCUUCUCACCAUUCACACUCCCAGAUUGAAGUGGACAGUUCUGAAUUCUAAAUCAGCAUGGAGGGAGGGUAAUGGAGAUUACCUUCCUGGAGAGACAGACAGAUGAAGGGGGUAGGGGGAAAACAUAGAAAAAGAGAGAAAGGAAGGGGGGAAGGUGUAAGAAACAGGUCAUUUGGACCCCUGAAGCUCUUGUUGGGGAGAAAAUUCCAGGUCUGUUCCAGCCACGGCCGCUGUUUACUCUCCCCCUGCUAAAAAUAGUGCUCUUGUCUCCAGAAUGAUUCAGGAAAAAGGCUGCAUCCCUUUUUAUAGCCUUUGCAUGACACAGCAUGUCAGUGUUGUUUUCUUUCCUCUUCCCCCCUUGUUUCCCUCUUUCUCCAAAACAAAGCAUCCCUCUGUUUUUGGUGAAACACAUGUAUUAGAUUGGGAUUGCAGAAAGCAAAGGGUCACACUCCUGUCAGUAAUUGCAUUGCAAUUAUGAAUGAGCUUACAUGAUUAGGGCACAGGAGUGAUUGAAAGGUGAGUGCCGGCCUGUGAUGUGGACUGGCUUCUCAACUAUGUGGAGAAAUUCCAGAGGGUAAUGGAUCAUGAAUGGCUUUCUCUACCCUAAAUGUGGACAGGAGAAGGGCAGAUAGUAAAAAACAGGGAUCAAGAUGUUUUCUGAGACGAUGAAGCAAUUUUUAUCAUUUGUGGUUCUAAAAUUAGAUUUAACGUUGAUAUCUGACUUGAAAACUAGCUGGAAUGUUUUUAAUAAUAAAAAUGAUUCUAUCAAAAUAUAUGAAAUGAGACAUGAAAUAUGAAUGAGAAGGUGAUUCUUUUGUUGCAUGACCAUGCAGUGACACAUGACUGUAAAUGCUCAGUAAAAACUAUCCAAAUGCUUCACAGCAAUGUGAAAAAAACAACAACAUUUAUUAUGAUUUAUCACAUAAACCUAAGGAUUUGUAGCACUUAAGAUGUAUUAAUGGAAGUUGUUACAUUGCUGUAUUAUUGCUUGCUAGUAGACAUUUCUACCUUAUCAGGAGGUAGAUCACAAUAUGCACACUUACUGGUAAUCGAUGCAUCAUGUUGCUGCUUAUUUACAUUGAGUAAACUUUGUUCAGCUCUUUUGCAUUGUCACCUCAAAUCAGGAACUCUCAUGGUUGCAUUAAGUUACAAAAUAUAUUUAGUGAAUGAAAGUGCUUCUUUGUUGCAUUAUCAUUCAGUGAUGCAUAAUUGUGUAAGUUCUGUAAGCAUAUUUACUACAGUAAACUAAAUGAAGAGUUCAUUAUGUCUAUAAUAUAAUGUCAUCUUUAAUGCAGGUAGCAAAGAAUGGACAUACACAUAUGUUUUUGCAACAAAUCUAGUUUUUCUAGUCAGCAAAAUCUUUAGAAUUUCCUAGAAUAAAUUCUGGAAAUUACAUAUGCAUUUGUGACUAUUUUAAUAAUAAAAAAAUCUUUAUUAUAUAUAUAGGUGCAUCUCAAUAAAUUAGA